rnacentral:rRNA from 1 species
AACGAACGUUAGCGGCGCGCCUAACACAUGCAAGUCGAACGCGAUUGGGGGCAACUCCAGUCGAGUGGCGCACGGGUGAGUAACACGUAGGUAAUCUCCCCCCGAGUGGUGGAUAACCCUCCGAAAGGAGAGCUAAUACAGCAUGAGACCACGGCUUCGAAAGGAGCUGAGGUCAAAGCGGAGGUCGCAAGACUUCGCGCUUGGGGAUGAGCCUGCGGCCCAUCAGGUAGUUGGCGGGGUAAUGGCCCACCAAGCCAUAGACGGGUAGCUGGUCUGAGAGGAUGAUCAGCCACACUGGAACUGAGACACGGUCCAGACUCCUACGGGAGGCAGCAGUGGGGAAUCUUGCGCAAUGGACGAAAGUCUGACGCAGCGACGCCGCGUGGGUGAUGAAGGCCUUCGGGUUGUAAAGCCCUGUGGGGAGGGACGAAUAAGUUCCGGUCAAUACCCGGAGCGAUGACGGUACCUCCUUAGCAAGCACCGGCUAACUCUGUGCCAGCCGCCGCAGUAACAC